UAAUGGGUCAGCGACUUAUAUUCAGUGGCAAGGUUAACCAUCUAGGGGAGCCGUAGGGAAACCGAGUCUUAACUGGGCGUUCAGUCUCUGGAUAUAGACCCGAAACCAGGUGAUCUAGCCAUGGGCAGGUUGAAGGUUGAGUAACAUCAACUGGAGGACCGAACCGACUAAUGUUGAAAAAUUAGCGGAUGACUUGUGGCUAGGGGUGAAAGGCCAAUCAAACCUGGAGAUAGCUGGUUCUCCCCGAAAGCUAUUUAGGUAGCGCCUCGGACGAAUACUACUGGGGGUAGAGCACUGUUAAGGCUAGGGGGUCAUCCCGACUUACCAACCCUUUGCAAACUCCGAAUACCAGUAAGUACUAUCCGGGAGACACACGGCGGGUGCUAACGUCCGUCGUGGAGAGGGAAACAACCCAGACCGCCAGCUAAGGUCCCAAAUUACUACUAAGUGGGAAACGAUGUGGGAAGGCUCAGACAGCCAGGAUGUUGGCUUAGAAGCAGCCAUCAUUUAAAGAAAGCGUAAUAGCUCACUGGUCGAGUCGGCCUGCGCGGAAGAUGUAACGGGGCUAAGUAGUAAACCGAAGCUGCGGCAAUAUACUUUUGUAUAUUGGGUAGGGGAGCGUUCUGUAAGCGGUUGAAGGUGUGUGGUAACGCAUGCUGGACGUAUCAGAAGUGC
rnacentral:rRNA from 1 species